rnacentral:ncRNA from 2 species
AUGUCAAAGUGAAGAAAUUCAACCAAG